rnacentral:rRNA from 1 species
UACGAAGGGGGCUAGCGUUGUUCGGAAUCACUGGGCGUAAAGGGCGCGUAGGCGGCUUUGUAAGUCGGGGGUGAAAGCCUGUGGCUCAACCACAGAAUUGCCUUCGAUACUGCUGAGCUUGAAUCAGGUUGAGGUUGGCGGAAUGUGACAUGUAGCGGUGAAAUGCUUAGAUAUGUCAUGGAACACCGAUUGCGAAGGCAGCUGACUGGACCUGUAUUGACGCUGAGGCACGAAAGCGUGGGGAGCGAACAGG